CUGGGUCUUUAGGCGAUUUGCAACCUCAUCUAUUAUUUUAUUUGUUCUUUCAUGAAUUCAACCAUCUGACACUUUGAAGUGCUUUUCCGGUGUUCUGUGCUGUGAUAGGUAUGGGGGAUACAGAUCGACUCCACCACAGCCUAGCCUCGCAGGAGCCCACAGACGGGCGGCAGAGGAAGAUGUGCGAAUAAUCCGUGCAGUAAGUGCACAACAAGAGGCCCUCGUCCCAGACAUGGGGGAAGAGGGAUUGGAAAAGGCUCCUGGAGAGGAAACCUGAGCCACGCUCUAAGGAGAAACAGAAUUUAGUGGAGUAGGGAGCGAUGGGGAAGCAUUCGGGCAGAGGCAGCCGCGUGUGCAGACUGCUAGUGAGCCGCUGAAGAAGACGGUCCGGAUCGGCCAAGUGGCUCGGAAGGGCCUGGACAGGAAGGUUCACCUACAGAGGACUCUGAAGACCCCUCUCUCAUCUGCCCCCAGAAAUCACAUGACUGUUGCGUCCCUUGGGAAGCCUGAGGGGAACAGGACGGCCACACUGGGCACUGGCCCACACUGGCAUGCACAACGAGACACCUGCCUAGGAACUGCAAAGAAGUGUUUACGAGCCAAGGCCCGAGUUACUAGGAGGAGAGGCAGAUGGCUGUGGGCUAAUUCCUGAAGUGCACUUCUGGGGACCAUCAGCUCGGGCUCCCAGGCUGACAUCCCACACAGGCUACAGCUGCCGUGGUUCAGCUCACACCGCAUCCAUGUGCUCCGUGAACCCAUUCCUGAUGACUCCAGCCCAUACUGAUCUGACUUAUACCAGCUGAGAAGCUCAGUUACUGCUAUGACCCUCAGAUGGGCACUACACUGUCUGUGGCCGUGCUCACCCUCACUCUGCGUGGGUCUC